GGAUUAGGCAUGCAAGUCGAACGGGCACCUUCGGGUGUCAGUGGCGGACGGGUGAGUAAUGCAUAGACAACCUGCCCUCGAGAUGGGGACAACUUCCCGAAAGGGGAGCUAAUACCCAAUACCGUGCAGCGUCGCGAGAGGCUGCAUGAAAGAUUGCCUCUGUUCCAAGCUUUCGCUCGAGGAGGGGUUUAUGUCCUAUUAGCUUGUUGGUGAGGUAACUGCUCACCAAGGCGACGAUGGGUAGCCGACCUGAGAGGGUGACCGGCCACACUGGGACUGAGACACUGCCCAGACUCCUACGGGAGGCUGCAGUCGAGAAUCUUCCGCAAUGCGCGCAAGCGUGACGGAGCGACGCCGCGUGGGUGAUGAAGGCCUUCGGGUUGUAAAGCCCUGUCACCUACUAUGAAAAGCGGGCGGUGAAUAGUUGUCCCGCUUGACGUAAGUAGGAGAGGAAGCACCGGCUAAAUACGUGCCAGCAGCCGCGGUAAUACGUAUGGUGCAAACGUUGUUCGGAUUCACUGGGCAUAAAGCGCGCGUAGGCGGUCGGGUAAGUCCGAUGUGAAAUCCCUCGGCUCAACCGGGGAACUGCAUCGGAUACUGCCUGACUAGAGUGCAGGAGGGGAGAGUGGAAUUCCUGGUGGAGCGGUGAAAUGCGUAGAUAUCAGGAGGAACGCCGGUGGCGAAAGCGACUCUCUGGCCUGUGACUGACGCUGAGGCGCGAAAGCUAGGGGAGCGAACGGGAUUAGAUACCCCGGUAGUCCUAGCCCUAAACGAUGGGCACUAAGUAGAGGGGUUUU
rnacentral:rRNA from 1 species